rnacentral:tRNA from 1 species
ACGUGGCCUAGUGGCAUCACGUCCGACCGCAGUGUCAGAGACCGUGGGUUCAAUCCCGG